CCGUGUAGGUCUACUAAGCUUCCCCUCCUCGCCGCGCGGUUAUUCCACUCCCACGGUGACCCUGGUCGCCACUGUCGGCGGCGUGGCUCCCACGCCUCGUGUUGCUCCUGUGCGUCUCCCUCGCGGACGCAUCGUCUUCGGCCUCCUCCUGGCCCCCCGCACCGCCUAGAUGCCCCUUCCUCAACUCGCCCCAUGCGCGGCUACCCCGCGCACGUCGGCGGCCCAUGGCCCCUGCGCAUGUGCGCUCGGUUGCCGGUUGCAGAUGGGAAGCCGGCGCACGCGACGGACAGUGAAGCGGUGGGUGCCGGGAUCACGGAUUUGGAGGCAAAGCGGCUGGUGCCAGACGGCCGCGAUAACAACAUCACCUUCGACGAGUUCCACCACUUCCAUUGAUACAUCAGCGAACAGAAUAAGGAAGUCCUUAUAAGUGUAGCCUUCAUCCACCUGAAGCAGGCCGAUCUGUCCAAGCAUAUCGAAAACCUCUCUGCCGCUAGCCGCGCCAUACUGCUCUCUGUCUCCAUUCGUUCGCCUUUCACCUCUUGGUUUAUGCUCCAUUGCGUGGGACAUCAUGGUUAACCAUUGUUUGAUUUUUGCAGAGUCUUACCUGCAGUCACUUGUGAGGGUUCUGUCGCUACUCCUCGACGUCACCAACUUCUCGCGUUGGAUCCAUAGAAAAGACGGAAGCUCCAGCAAAUCCUUAGUGAGUUAACAAUAUGAUUAGGGAAUCUUGAGGUUAUUUUGUAUUAUUAUUUUGACAACUAGCAAAGUAGAUGAAUUGUACUGCAGUCUGAUAUUGCAGGAUUGGCAACAAGAUGGAGCUUGAGGCUGUAGUGAAGGCAACCGUCCAGUUGCUGAACAAGGUGGUGAUCAUAUAAUUGUGCUAUCUUUUUCAUGAGUUUUGCACUCUAUGUUCUUUUCAGCUCGUAGCAUACAGAACAAGUUUGUUCAUGCAUCAUAGGAAUUUUCAUAUUUUAAGGUAAGCAUCUCACAUGAAAACUUUCUUACCAAUAAAUAAUUUAAGUAAGAUGUAUGUAACUUGAACCAUGUGCAUUUGCACAUUGUUGUUGCUACAUAUUUUAACACCAAUGAGUUAUGGCAUGAAUUUAUUAUCAUGUCUUGUGCUUUGUAAGACCGCAAGAUUUAAACUGCGCCUAAUUUCACUAUGGGAAUACGAAAACACACGCCACUUCUUGUAUUCUAUAUUUUGAAAUUGGAAUAUACUUUAUUUCCAUGCAACCUCAAACAAUAGCCACUGGACGCAUAAUAGUAGACAUUUACAUUCAGACUCGAUAGCCACUGGACGCCUUCUAAUAGUAGACAUUUACAUUCCGGCUAAAUUGGAAUAAUAUGCUAAGAGGCUACCUCAAGAUUCAAAUGAAACUUAUCCAAUUUGAGAAGGUAAUUAUUUCAAUUUUUGUACAAAAAAUCGUCAGAAGUGUUUGUUAUCAACAUAAUUACUCUUCUAUACUCUUAAGCAUGUAAUGCAUGUCUUCCACUUACAUAGUACAAAUCUUGCAAGUGAUGACUUCUUUUUAUCUGGCAACAUGUAGCUUUGUUAUUCUACUUCCAAAUGGCACACUGGAGCGGCACUUUCGCAUCCAGCAAAUAGAUCAACAAUGAUGAAAUAUUUGCAUCAGUACAUCACAAAGUAAGAUCAAAUAGAUAUCAUGUAUUGAUCUGCUUGAGAACCCACUUCCUUUUCAUUCUUUGAGGCAAUGCCAUCAAGGACUUGAACUUGUAAUCAACUGCAAUAAGAGUGCUUCAAUGUUACAGCUAUAUACACAAGUUACAAUGCUCCGCAUCCAGCAAAUUUUAUUCAGAGAGCACUUCAAUGUUACAGCUAUAUACACAACAUAACUAGUGAACUAACUAGCUGGAUAAUCUCACCAAACCUAGUGAAUUAAUUGGUCAAUUAAUCUUAGCAUGUAA